rnacentral:lncRNA from 1 species
UGAUAUUCUUAGUGUAUUAAUUAUAUACCGAUUUACUUUUGUCAUUUUAAUUGCAGGUGACAAGAAUAAAAGGUUUAAAACUGUCGACAGUAUACUUCGUAAACUUAAAGCGAACUUCGAAACAACAAUGAAAACAGAGUUAAGAAACAAUUUCGAUCCCCCAUCUGAAGUAGCCGACAUACGAACGCUUCUACGUGACAAACACCAUAUGGUUGUUGCAGGAAGUUUCAGCAGCCAGUACCUUGAAAUUGCCUUAUUCGCCAUGAAAACAAUGGAUUACACGAAGGGCGAUGUGUCGAAAUAUCGACGUCGUCUGACUGGCGCCAUAUUGAUCCAGAAGAGGUUGACCUUGUUCUGCUCAAAGAUCCGUUUGGUAAAGAUUACUACGAGAGCUCAAAAGCAAUGGGUAUUGCAGACGUCUUUAACAAUAUGUUACAGACUUCGAAAGAAGAUACUGAUGCUGAUAGAAUAGAUAUAAUUCUGGUUACAGAAAUUAGUAUAUUGGCCGAGGUCAGGAAACAACAUGACCAUGAUAUCCUUGACGUUUUCGUCAAUGUAUUUGAUACGACCAGGGAGAAACAACCGGCUGAUCUUACAUUAGGUCCUGAUAUCAGCAUAGGAGCGAAGGCGCCUUUAAAUCAAAUUGCUAGUAAUUUGAAAGAAAUCACAAGCACAUUCAUUCAGCAUUAUUAUAGCGAUCUCAACAGAAUCCAGGUUGAUGAUGCUUAUAUCAAAAUCGCCAAGGAAAAUUCAAAAGGAGCAAAAUUGUUGUCUUGGUUGGUCCAAAAGAAUAUGGAAAGGUUCUCGCUAUUGCCUUAGCAUCGUCCUACAAGCCCUCGCAGUGUCUUCUACUGACUAAGCCUGAUGAUACACUGCUAAUAGAUUCAGACGUAUGUCUGGCUAUCGUCGACCAGUUCGCUGGUAGAUAUAGGUUUAGCGAGGAUCAAGUCCUUAAAUGGUAUGAUAUGUUUGACCAUCUACAACUUGCUGUAUAAGCUGGCAAGCUUAAUGUUGUAAUAACCUGUGACAAGGAAAAAUUAAAAGGGUGCAGAAAAAUCUUUCCACAUCCCCUGUUGGAGCAUACGGUUUACCUACCGGAAGAUGAUUAUAAUGCUGUUAAAAAUGAGGUUUCAUUGGAAGAAAAUGUAGAAAUGUCAGAUACAAUGGAUUAUUCCACAGAUCAGGCUGAAAAUGAGCAUCAGAAACGGCACAAGAAACUAAGACGUAAUGGGUAUGGCGAAACUCCAGUUCACAUUGCUGCUAAAAAGCCUCAUCCGGAUGAGUUAAAGAAAUAUAUUGCUUCUGGUGCCGAUGUCAAUGUUAGAGACUACGCUAAUUGGUCUCCUCUGCAUGACGCAUGUAACAAGGGACUUGUGAGAAUGCAGCGUGCUUACUACAAGCUGGAGCUGAUAUUGAUGCAUUAGGAGACGAAAACUAUACUCCUCUGCAUAA